UACGUAGGUGGCAAGCGUUGUCCGGAAUUAUUGGGCGUAAAGCGCGCGCAGGCGGUCCUUUAAGUCUGAUGUGAAAGCCCACGGCUCAACCGUGGAGGGUCAUUGGAAACUGGGGGACUUGAGUACAGAAGAGAAGAGUGGAAUUCCACGUGUAGCGGUGAAAUGCGUAGAGAUGUGGAGGAACACCAGUGGCGAAGGCGAUCUU
rnacentral:rRNA from 1 species